CCCUUAGAUGUUCUGGGCCGCACGCGCGCUACAAUGAUGAAUUCAACGAGUUUAUAACCUUGGUUGAAAAGCCUGGGUAAUCUUUUGAACUUUCGUCGUGAUGGGGCUAGACCCUUGCAAUUAUUGGUCUCCAACGAGGAAUUCCUAGUAAACGCAAGUCAUCGGCUUGCAUUGAUUACGUCCCUGCCCUUUGUACACACCGCCCGUCGCACCUACCGAUUGAAUGGUCCGGUGAAAUCUUCGGAUUGAGACUUUGAUUUCUUCACGGAAAACGCUGUUUUAAGAAGUUGAUUAAACCUUACCAUUUAGAGGAAGGUGAAGUCGUAACA
rnacentral:rRNA from 1 species